rnacentral:lncRNA from 1 species
CUUAAAUGUGUUGCACUGUGAUAGUACGAACGCUUGCUGUAUUUACCACAUGGUUGUUUCAUUUCGUCUGGGGCAGUAGUGGCCGUUAGCAGAUGUCAUUUGGCCUUAAGUGCAAUAUUUUUAUGUUGCAUAUUAUGGUUCAUACUGAUCCAUUGAAUGCACUGCACAACCAUGUUCUGGACAACUGCCUGUUUGAAGGAAUGAUCUGCAUAUUCAGUGGGUCUAAUGUGAACAUCUCUAGUACUGCCUGUGUAUUUAUGAGUUAGAUAUUGUAUUGUGUGUCACUUUAUUUUCACUGUAGUUUAGUGGGAUUGCACAUUGAAUGUGUUGUCAUAUUUUACUUUGCUAUGAGAGAUCUAAUGGGCAGCUACCAGCCCCAGUCUGUAUUAGUACAAAUAUUUAUUAUGCUUAUCACAGCAUUUUAAGGCCAUGCCUCAGGCCAUUAACUCAUGCCUGACUUUUUUAUGAGAAACAUGUCAGAACUAAUAAACAAUCACUCAUGCUUGGGAUCUUUGAAAUCA